GCGGAACCCAGAGCCGGGUAAGCCACUUAGCGGAGGGAACGCUCGGGUGACGUUCCCGGAAGUCGCCUUCAUGGCCCUGACAGCUUAUCGGAACACAGAGGUACAGAGCGAAAGGAAAUCACAGUCUCUGCAAGCAGUCCAUGAAAGUUCUGCAGGCCCUGAAAACCUUGGAGGGACGGGCAGCGGAAAAGGGGGGAAGAAGCCACCCGCAGGAAGGGAUUCGAAGCUGCCCCAACCGGUGCACAGAGAGAUGUAG